AACAAAGUUGUCUAGUUCCCUCGCAUUUCUAGACCCUUUGAAGUAUUUGGGUCGGGGAACAUAUAUUUUGGAAGGGGUAGUCCUUACCUUGGACGUAGUGGCAGUGCCUUGUGCAAGAGCCCUUUUGCACAAGCUGAGCUCCUCAUUGGUGCUCUCCAGCUCAUGUGAAAGCCUCCCUAGCUCUUCCCGCAUGGACGAAAUCUCUGUC
rnacentral:lncRNA from 1 species